rnacentral:rRNA from 1 species
GACGAACGCUGGCGGCGUGCUUAACACAUGCAAGUCGAACGGAAAGGUCCUGCUUUUGCGCGGUGCUCGAGUGCCGAACGGGUGAGUAACACGUGAGUGUCCUGCACUUGACUUUGGGGUAACAUUAGGGAACUGGGGCUAAUACCGGAUAGGAGCUCCUGCUGCAUGUUGGUGGUUGGAGAGUUUUGGCGGUUGGGGAUGGAUUGGCUGCUUAUGCGCUUGUUGGUGGGGUAGUGGCUUACCAAGGCUUUGAAGGGUAGCCGGCCUGAGAGGGUGACCGGGGACAUUAGUACUGAGGUACGGACCAGACUCCUACGGGAGGCAGUAGGGGGGAACAUUGCGGAGUGGCGGGGAGCCUGAUGUAGCAACGCCGCGUGCGGGAUGACGGGCUUCGGGUGGUAAACCGCUUUCGCCUGUGACGAAGCGGGAGUGACGGUAAUGGGUAAAGAAGCACCGGCUAACUACGUG